rnacentral:lncRNA from 1 species
GCCUGCCCCGGCUGCCCACCCUGCAAAGACCAUCAAUCCUUGGUGCCUGCACAGGCCCUGCCCAUCCUGGCAGGGGCAGCUGCUGCCAGGGGAGCCUGCCCACCCUCACGUCGCUCAGGCACCAGCUUGACACAAACACAGACCAGGCAGGAAGAGCCAAUUCAGGUCACCCUCAGAAACGGCUCAGGGCUCAGGCUGCCCAGGCCCUGAGGGGAAGCCUCCUCGGGGUGUUGCUGAGUGUCAAGGCCCCCACUCCACCCCUGUGGUUUAUCUGUUUCAGAAAGACCCCAUGGUGAGGGGAUAUGGGCUGAACAGAGGCCCUACCCCAGCUGGAGAGACGGCAGGUCUAUUCAAGAGCCUGGGAAUCGGGUCGGACAGCUUGGGUGUUGACAUCGGUGCUGCCGCCACUUGGGCUGUGUGACCUCAGGCAGGUUGCCUGCUCUGUCUGAGCCCCGGCGUUCUCUUCUGUCCAGUGAGGACCCCUUGCAUGGGGGUGUGGGAUUCCAUGGGACAUGGAGGGGGCAGUGCCCUGCAGAGGGGCUGGCAUUGAGGUCAGGAAACAGAGUUUAGGGGCAGGGUGGGGAGUAUGUCACAUGACUCCAGGAUGAACGCCGACAGCAAGGGAAGCGGGACUGGGUCUUGCUCUGUCAUCCAGGCUGGAGUACUUUGGUGCGAUCAUAGCUCACUGUAACCUUGACCUCCUGGGCUCAACGAUCCUCCUGCUUUGGCCUCGUAAAGCACUGGGAUUCCAGAAUGACCUUGAGGACUGUGACCGUUGCUGUGUGCAUCUGUGCUGCUUCCCGUUUCAUUGCUGAGUGGUGUUCCUGUAAAUGGAUAUGCCACUGUCUGCUUCUUCACUCACCAGGGUCUUGCUGUGGUACCCAGGUUGGAGUGCAGAGGCAUGAUCUUGGCUCACUGCAGCCGCCACCUCCCAGGAGUGAUCCUCCCACCUCACCCUCCCAAAUAGGUGGGACUACCAGCAUGCACCGACACACCUAGCUAAUUUUUGUUAUUUUUUGUAGAGAGGGGGUUUUGUCAUGUUGCCCAGGUUGGUCUUGAACUCCCGGGGUCAAAUGAUCCACCUGCCUUGGCCUCCUGAAGUACUAGGAUUGCAGGCAUGAGCCACCAUGCCCAGACUAAUUCCUGUUUUCAAUUUUAGGUAGUCAUUUGAUUAUUGAGUUGUAGAAAUCUUACUUUUGGAUUAAUAUAUUAAAAACUAUCACCAGUUAGCCAUGUGUUAACUGCUUAGUUUUUCAACCAAACUUCAAUCAUCAGCCAGCCCUCACUUUCAGCCCAGAUCGACGGGCUCAACGCUUGGUGAUCGGUUAACUCCUUGUUUUUUAGCUAAUGCUUUAAUUAGCAAUUACCAUCUUUGUCUUCAGCUAAACAUCAUACUUCUCAAUGCUUUGGUUAUCAGCUAAUGUCUUCUUUUUCAGCUAACACUUUAGUGGACAUUAAUACCCUUGUUAACGUAUGUUACUUCAACCAGAUUAGACCUGGCUGCAUUGGGAAAGGAAAGUGGGGGGCUUGACAAGGAACGUGAAGACAUUAAAGGCAAAACCUCUGAGUUAAUGAAGGGAGUCCUCCAAGAGAGUUCUUUCCUUCACGAGCUGGAGCCUGGCUCUCCAUGAAAGCUUUUUGAAUGAAUGAAUGAAUGGGUGA